GGACCCGCACAAGCGGUGGAGCAUGUGGUUUAAUUCGACGAUAAGCGAGGAACCUCACCAAGGUUUGACAUGUAGCUGCAAGGUCUGGAAACAGAUCCGCCUUCGAGGGUGCUACACAGAUGCUGCAUGGUUGUCGUCAGCUCGUGUCGUGAGAUGUACCGUUAAGUCGGGAAACGAGCGCAACCCUUUUCUUAUGUUUUAUAUGUCAUAAGAUACUGCCCGUUUUAAAUGGGAGGAAGGUGGGAUGACGUCAAAUCAGCAUGGUUCUUACACCUUGGGCAACACACGUGCUACAAUGGAAAGUACAAAGGGACGCCAAAUCGCGAGAUGGAGCAAAUCCCUAAAAACUUUUCUCAGUUCGGAUUGGAGUCUGCAACUCGACUCCAUGAAGCUGGAAUCGCUAGUAAUCGUGGAUCAGCUAUGCCACGGUGAAUACGUUCUCGGGUCUU
rnacentral:rRNA from 1 species